rnacentral:tRNA from 1 species
GCGGAAGUAGUUCAGUGGUAGAACACCACCUUGCCAAGGUUGGGGUCGCGGGUUCGAAUCCCGUCUUCCGCUCCA